rnacentral:sRNA from 1 species
UAGUUUCUACGGGAAAUGAAGUAGGAAGGAACGCAGCCAGGGAAACUAGCUGGGCCAGGAGGGGUCAGACCCCUGAACAAGUGAGCUGAUCUCUCAAGGAGGAGCUGGAUCGGUGUGAGGGAGAGCGGUCCAUCCCGGCCCAGCCACCAUGUCCAUCCACUUCAGCUCCCCGGUAUUCACCUCGCGCUCAGCCGCCUUCUCGGGCCGCGGCGCCCAGGUGCGCCUGAGCUCCGCUCGCCCCGGCGGCCUUGGCAGCAGCAGCCUCUACGGCCUCGGCGCCUCGCGGCCGCGC